UACCAAAACUAAUUAAGCACACAUAUCUCUGGGGUAAACAAAACAGAACUACAAAGGAGUGCAUUUGGCAACCCAGGAGGUGAUAAACAAGCAAUAUACAGGAUAAGAAGGAUGGCCAGGAGGACAGCGAUCAUUAUCACCUUUAUGUGAGAUCUGUUUCCUGGCCCUAAGAUUAACAUCCUAAGAUUAACAUAUCAGAAAAGCUACAUCAAAGAAACUUGCCCACUAUCUUUGAUGACCCAGGACGCCUGCCUAAAGAGAAAUGGAACAGGGAUGCAGAGGUGUGGAUUGAUCAAAAAUCAUAU